AACGGUUACCUGAAGUCAGGAGAACCACAAAAUGCUUCUCUGAGCAUUGUCUGCUCUGCCCUCUGAAAAGCCCAGAGUGGAAGCCAUUAUUUUGGCCAUUCUUUAGAAAAGCAUUUUCUUUCUACUUUCAAACACCAUCCUUUCUGUCCUAAUCUGAGCCUGGCUCUUUUGCUACUUCUUUAAAAGAUAUGAACAAUUAGUUCACUUCCUUCUUACAACAGCCCUCUCUGUAGCCCAUCUGCUACAGCCCGUCUGUAACACCAUCUGCUAAUGGUGUUAUCUCCCAGCUGAAUGGACCAUAUUCUUCUAAUUCCAACUCUCUGGACUUACUUCUUGGACACACAAGAAACCUGGCAGUUUUCAAGCAGUUUUAUUCACAAUUGCCAAAAUACAGAAGUAACCAAGGUGUCACUCAGUAGGGUAUAGCAUAUUAUCUUCUAAUCCUGGGAUGAGAAAAUACAGACUGGUAGCAGACAGAAGGAAGUCAUCCUCUCAGGAGCAUCAGGGACCAAGGUGUGGCCUGCAUGGGGUGGCAGGCAAACCCAGCCUACUACAUCUGCAGAGAGAAGCUGGUCAUGGACCACACAUCACCCGACACCAAAAGCUUGCAAGGCUUGUAGCAAAAAGGCCUUCGAAGAACUAGGAAUGGAACACGAAUGGAACAGCAUUGGGCUGAAGGGCUCUUGCAGCUCCUCUUGCCCAAGAUGCCAAUAUGGAUUCCUGAGCUGAAGCUAUCACUACAACUAUAUUAGUCUCCUCUUUCUCACUCACAAAAACUUUUCAGGAGCUUUUUCUCUUGGUUAUCUUCUUGCAUUUCCUAGAACUUGGCUGGAAUUUGGCCUCCUUUGAUGUUUUAGGAAUAGCACAUUGUUGUUCAGGGUAUGCAUGCUUCUGGAGCCUCAAGUAUUACUUCUAUUUUCUGGCAUUUGGUACUCAAAUUAAAUUGUUGGCACCAGUUCCAUAAAGUGUCCCGAGACAUCUUAUUAACCAAAGGCAAAAUCGUGAGCAAGGGAAGGAUGAGUAUUUUACAAUUAGGUUUUAGGCAAGGUUUGAACUGUUCAUUCAUUUGUGGAAGGUGAACUGCAUGUUCAAAAUCUGCAGUUGAUCAAACAUUUGGUUCCAUUAGUUGUUCAGGUCCCUCUAUAACUGGGACCAGUGUUAAAAUAACAUUUUCCUUACCUAAUUCCUCCUCAAAGAAAUUCUCGCUGAGACUGUAACUUGUGCCUGACAUUUUCAAGACUGCCCAGAAGAAAAGACCACAUGCUAAG
rnacentral:lncRNA from 1 species